CCUACGGAGUGCAGCAGUGAGGAAUAUUGGUCAAUGGGCUUACGCCUGAACCAGCCAAGUCGCGUGAGGGAAGACUGCCCUAUGGGUUGUACACCUCUUUUAUCAGGGAGCCAUUGGCGCUACGUGUAGCGUUAUCUAGAGUACCUGAAGAAAAAGCAUCGGCUAACUCCGUGCCAGCAGCCUCGGUAAUACGGAGGAUGCGAGCGUUAUCCGGAUUUAUUGGGUGUAAAGGGUGCGAAGGCGGAAGAUCAAGUCAGCGGUAAAAUUGAGAGGCUCAACCUCUUAGAGCCUUUGAAACUGGUUUUCUUGAGUGAGUGAGAAGUAUGCGGAAUGCGUGGUGUAGCGGUGAAAUGCAUAGAGAUCACGCAGAACUCCGAUUGAGAAGGCAGCAUACCGGCGCUAAACUGACGCUCAUGCACGAAAGUGUGGGUAUCGAACAGGAUUAGAUACCCUGGUAGUC
rnacentral:rRNA from 1 species